AGUGAACGCUGGCGGCGUGCUUAGCACAUGCAAGUCGAACGAGAACGGAUUAUAGCUUGCUAUAAUUGUCAGCUAAGUGGCGCACGGGUGAGUAAUGUAUAGGUAAUAUGCCUCUUACUAAGGGAUAACAAAUGGAAACGUUUGCUAAUACCUUAUACUCCUUAUUAACAUAAGUUAAUAAGGGAAAGAUUUAUUGGUAAGAGAUUAGCCUGUAUUGUAUCAGUUAGUUGGUGGGGUAAUGGCUUACCAAGACUAUGACACAUAACUGGUUUGAGAGGAUGAUCAGUCACACUGGAACUGAGACACGGUCCAGACUCCUACGGGAGGCAGCAGUGGGGAAUAUUGCACAAUGGACGAAAGUCUGAUGCAGCAACGCCGCGUGGAGGAUGACACAUUUCGGUGCGUAAACUCCUUUUAUAUGAGAAGAUAUGACGGUAUUAUAUGAAUAAGCACCGGCUAACUCCGUGCCAGCCGCCGCGGUAA
rnacentral:rRNA from 1 species